rfam:Ixodes scapularis strain Wikel colony gcontig_1108379384020, whole genome shotgun sequence.
UCCUGGUUAGCUCUGUUGGUAGAGCGCUCCACUGGAAAUGGAGAGGUCCCUGUUUUGAUACCGGGAUCAGGCG